rnacentral:rRNA from 1 species
GAUGAACGCUAGCUACAGGCUUAACACAUGCAAGUCGAGCGAACACGGCAUUAACUUCUUGCACUUUUUGGACGUCGACCGGCGCACGGGUGAGUAACGCGUAUCCCACCUUCCCCUGACUUAGCGAUAACAUGCCGAAAGGCAGACUAAUACCUUAUGGUCUUCACUGGCUGCAUCAGAUGUGGAGUAAUUAUUUAUCGGUUAUGGAUGGGGCUGCGUCUGAUUAGCUUGUUGGCAGGGUAACGGCCCACCAAGGCAACGAUCAGUAGGGGACCUGAGAGGAAGCUCCCCCAGAUUGGAACUGCGAUACGGACCACACUCCGACGGGAGGGAGCAGUGAGGAAUAUUAGGCAAUGGGCGAGAGCCUGAACCAGCCAAGUGGCGUGUAAGAGGACUGCCCUAGGGGUUGUAAGCUGUUAGUGUAGGAGGAUAAAGUCAAUCACUUGGGAUUGUUUGCAGGUACCAUACGAAAAAGGACCGGCUAAUUACGUG